AAAGCCUUAAUCUUCAGGGAGGAAACGAAGGGGAAAAACAAGUCCUUGACACAGACUUUAAUUUUUAGGUCUUUACAAGGCAGAACAGAGCAGCAGUGAAACUGGUGACCAUUUUCCUUAAUAUUUUUCAUUCUGAGACCAGUGCCUCCACAGAUAUUAUCAUUUAUUAAUAACUAUACAAGGUUAUAAGCAAGUCUUGCAGGCCUGAGAGCCAAUCUGCUUCUGCAAGUGAUUCUGCUUAUCUUGGUUCUGAUUCAUUCUGUACUGAUCUUACAAGUUUAACUGCCAAAGAACAUCAUGAUAAAUCCUGAAAGCAGCUAUCAAGUACCCUAUCAUCCUAGGGCUUUCAUCCCAAAAUAUACAAAAAGCACUGAAAUCCUAGAAACCCUGAGCAUUCAAAUCUACUAUCCACUUCUUCUGGACAAAGCAAAAGAACUUUCCUUCCCCACAAGA